GGCCACCCACAGCUGAGGAGCCUGGCCAUGCCCCUCCUCAUCCGGUAGCCAGGCCCCACCCCCUCCCACGACCUUACCAGCUGCACACCCUCCAUUCUGGAUCCUUCCAGCCUCUUGAGGAGAGCCCUGCAGUCAGCCAUGCUUUAUGUCCAGCAGAGGGCCUUCUACAGGGGUCAGCACAGAGCGCUGCUUCAUCUCUCUCCACAGCAGAAUUCACUCUGUAAUUCCGACUUGCCUUGAACUCACUAUGUAGUCUUGGCUGGCCUUGAACUUAUGGCUGUCCUCCUGCCUCAGCCUCCUAAGAGCUGGGAUUACAGGUGUAUUGUACCACUAUUUGUUUAAACUCUUUGUUUACCAGUCACCACAGGAUUGGUGUCUUCCACACUUCCCAAAUUAGGUCAGAGAUGAGAGGAGGAAACACUUUUGACUAAGAUGGGUUGGGAGAGUGAAAGAAUUUUUUCAUAGACAUUACCCUUUUGCAAGUAUUAUAAAUGGGGAGUACAAAGUAGAAAAAGUAUACAGUAGUUAAAACAUUUGCUCUGUAAA
rnacentral:lncRNA from 1 species